rnacentral:lncRNA from 1 species
GGUCUUUUGUCUUUUUAGGGCUGCACCAGCAGCAUAUGGAGGUUCCCAGGCUAGGGGUCCAAGCAGAACUGAAGCCUUGAGCCUACACUGCAGCUCGCAGCAAUGCAGGAUCCCCAACUCACUGAGCAAGCCAGGAUCUAGCCCACGUCCUCAUGGAUGCUAGUCAGGUUUGUUAACUGCUGAGCCACGACAGGAACUCCUCAAGUCUCCUCUUUUAAGGGCACUAAUCUCUUCAUGAAGGCUCCACCCCCAUGACCUCAUUACCUCCCAAAGGUUCUACCUCCAAAUACAAUCACAUUGAGGGUUAGAGUUUCUAUUUUGAAGGGACACAAACAUUCAGUCCAUACAAUCACCCUAGAGAAAAACUUUCAAGAAACCUGCCCAGUGGUCACAAACUAUGAAACUUAACACAAGUACAGCAAGUAAGGACACAUACCCAGUUAUCACUGGUACAAAACCAUAAACAAACAUAAGUAGUAAACAGAGGACAGACACUAAGGAGAGAAACAGGUAGACUAACACAAACAUAUUAUUUUAGUUGCAUAUUGAAAACCUUUUAAAACAAAUAAGACCGGACAUUAUAGGAGUUUCCACUGUGACACAGUGGGUUAAGAAUCUGAUUGCAGUGGCUUGAGUUGCAGCAGAGGUGCCAGUUUGAUCCCCAGCCAGGCACAGCUGGUUAAGGGACCAGCAUUGCCACAGCUGCGAUCUAGGUCACAGAUGGGGCUUGGAUUCAAUCUAUAGCUCAGGAACUUCCAUGUGCCAUGGGUACGACCAUAGAAAAAAAUUAGCAUUAUGGUAUAAAUGCCAAAAUGCAGGAGAUGCAGUAAAGUAUCAUUAAAGGAGGAAGUGCCUCUUUCAGACACUUAUUUAUCCUUCACCUGAUAAGCAAUUAAUGCAGAGAUACAAACAUGCCUUGAAAUAGUUUCAUGAAUCACUUUUCCUGGUUUCUAUACAAAGGUAAAAUCAUUCAUGUCCUAGAUCCUGAGUUACCGUUGAAUGAAAUAUAACACUAAAAAUAAUUUCCAAAUGUAUUAAGUGCCUCGAGUGCCUCUCAUAUGCCAGACAUGGUGCUAUAUGCUUUAUGUACCUCAUUCCAUGUAAUAGCCAGAGAAAUUCUUUUAUGCCAGUAUAUUUAUUAUCUUUUUUACAGGUGAGGAAAGCAAGGCUCACAAAAGACAAGCCAGGUUUUCAAGGCUGCACUGGGAAUCACAGAUUUAUAAUUCACAUCUUACUAAUCAAUUCUUUUCCAGUCUAAGACUCUAUGAAAUUUCAUGGAUCCUUACUCAAAAGGAUAUUUAAGCAGAAAUACUAACCUAAAAGUUUAGUAAAAUCUGAUAUAUUCUCUAGGCAUCAAUGGAGCUGACUGAACCCCAAGAAGAACAACUGACUUAAGAGAGGGAACUGAAGCUUCAUUUAUCCAAACUUCACAAAUCCUAUUGCUGCCUUCAAACUAAGAGCACAGGUAAUGUCUCCUUCAGGCAUAUAGUUUUCUUAAUCACUCUCUCAAUGUUCAGUCCCACAGGAUAUAAUGCCCUGCUCCAGCAGAGACUAUUAAAUUGAAAUGGAACUAGAUGCCAUAAAACUGAGAAGGGAGUCCUAUCUCUACCAGAGUUAUUUGUGCAGAUUUGGCCAAGGCAUGCCAAAUGACUUAAAUCUAUUUUUUUAAUCAAUUUCAUAGACUUGGGAGACAGACAAUAUAAGCAAAUGUACCAGGUGAACUAUAAAGGAUUAUACUACAUUAUACAUCUGAUUCAUUCAUUCAUUUAAUCAUUCAUAAGAAAUCCUAUGGUCACUGUGUACAUUGGGUUAAAAUGUAAAGUCUUGAACCAUCUCUGGUCAACUCUUACCUCAAGCACUAACUAGCUAUAUGAGCUUAAAUUGUUUUUUGUAUUGGUACCUUCAUCUCCUUAUCUGGAAAAUGGAACUAGUAAUAGACUUGUGAGAAUAAACAUACAAUGCAAUGAGGAUAAAAAUGUAAAAUGGGGAAAACAAAAAGGAUUGCUAUGAGGAGCAAAUAUGCUAGUACCUGUAAGGAAACUUUCAUUAUGGUUUAAUAUGCAGGUGUCAUUGUUAGUGAAGUCAUGACCUUCACCACUGUCAUCAUCACCAGUAUCAUUAUCAGUAAGAUAACUAAAGCCAUAAGGAUUCUUUAAGUGAUGGAAUCCUCAGAGCGUUCAAAUAAGAUUAAAAAACAAAAACAAAAACCUGACCUCUAGUUUUAACAAACGUAGCAUCAUUGUUUUCUGUGGAUAUGUAGAUAGACAUCUAUAAGAAUGAACUGAUAAAACUAAUCGCUGUUUUAUCCUUUUUAAACACUUGAUAAAAUGACACACAGAUGCACAUGAUGUUUAUAGAGCUAAAUUCCAUUCUUAUGAAAGCACUGCUUAUGAAAAUAUUAUUCUAGAAUAGUUUUUAAAUGACAAGCAGAGUUCAUGAAGUCUCUUACUCAGAUCUCUCCAAGCCAACACAUUAUCUUUCCCCCAUUAAAGAGCUUUGGACCAUCUGUCUCAUCCAGGCUACCAGCUGCCAUGAUCUCCAGAAAUAUCUCCUCAAUUGUAGGUAUUAAUUAGGUUUUUCCAUAAGAACAAAUUAUAGAUUAUUUAUAUUUACAAAUAGAAAAUGUUAAAUCCACAGUCUCUGUGGCAGGUGACUUGAUUUUGGUAAUGAAGAAGGCUCUCGCCGGCAGGUCCUUUGGGAGGUUGAAAUGUCUCUACUAUCAAAGCUAUUGCUGGUGCAAACUUCUGUUCUCAUCCAAAAUCAAAUCUAAAAUUAUGAUGUCAUUUAACAAGUGAGGUAACAGAAACCGACUAUGGGUUAGGAAGACAUUACAAUGGAAAGAAACCUGAUGAAUGGGCACAAAAAAAUGUACCUUAACACAGUAUAUAUCACAAUGUUAUACAAAGCACUCAUCAUGCAGUGAACUAUUUAUAGCUAUAGUGACUCUGAAUACCCAGGGACAUUCGAUUCAAUCUUAGGAAUUCAACAACCAAGCUAUAAUACAAUUUGUCUUUGGAUGGGAAACAGUUAAAAAGAAGAGGAAGUAAUUAGGAAACUGAAAAGGUGAAAGACCCUCCACCCUUGCCCCAAUCCAAUAAAAUGCCUAAUAGAAAGGCAUAGGCUGAAGGUUUGGACUUUCAAAGUCAGCUGAUGAUAUCUCCUCCACGGCACUCCUACCCUAUCCUCCAGCAUACAGCCCCUUCUUCAUUCUCUCCUGAACCCUCAACCUUGGAAGUCCCUUACUAUUGUCUCAUCCUCCUGCCAUCCUCUCUGUGUAGGAUUUCCUAUGAGGAACUGCAUCUGUCUGUCUGCUCUUCACAUCCUACUCCUUUAAGUAUCACUUGAUCUCCAGGCGUCCAUCAGAAAUACUCUGUGCCUGACUCUCAGAUUUCCUGGGUUCAGAUCUUGGCUUUGUCACUACCACUUGACCUUGGGAAAUGUGUCUGACCUUCUCACGCUCAGUUUCCUUAUCUGUAGAUGGAGAAUAAUAGUAACUGAGACUAAAUGAUGGCAUUUAAUCUUGGAAAACUGCUGUGAGAAUUAAUAAAUUGAUACAUAAAAUUCUUGGAAAAAUGUGUCACAACAAGCACUUGACAGAUGCUAGCUGCUGCUAUUAUUAUUAUUACUAUUAUUAUUUCCAAGUAUCCAAUGCUGACUCUUUUUUUUUUCUUCUCUCCUUGUGGUUCCUUUGCUCUUAAUGCCUUUAAUUCCAAUCCCACAUGUCAACAACAUUGCCCAUCCGUCAAAUACCAGGACAACUACCACUUCUUCCAUCACUGCCCCUUCUUUUCUCAACCAAAAAGCAUCAAUCCCGCUUCUGAAACCCCUAAUGGUUAACCCAAAAUGUUGUCAUGUGCUUCUUCAUUUCUAUGUUAUAAUCCAGAGAUUCAUAUACAUCUUGUCAUAUUUAUAAGCCUGUGCAUCCUCGGAAAGCAGGUGCUGGAGAGCUGGCCUCAUCAACUGAGAACCCAUGGAAAGUCCAAAAUGGAUCUGAGCUGUUCAGGACAGUAGUCACUAGUCACAUGGAGCUUUUAAGUUUUAAUUAAUUAAAAUGACAUAAAAUUAAUUCAGGUCUUCAGUCUCAUUAGCCAAAUUAUAGAUAGUCAAUAAGCCACUUGUGAGAACUGGCUCCUGUAUUAGAUAGCACAGAUAUGGGCCAUUUCUAUCAUCACAGAAACUCCUAUUAGACACUGUUACAAUAGAUGGUACUCAAAUAAAUACAUGUUACAUGAUUUUUAGAGCCCCUCUGGAUUUUAGAAUUAGUAUUCUCCCAAAAACUCUAUUUCACCAUAAAAUUUUAUCAAACAAACGCUCUAAAUGAAAAUAAGGCUUACAUCAUCAAGAUAACUUAUCAUAAUUUCUAGUAUCAGCAGUAGUGAGGACAGAACCAAUUCCUUAUUGUAGUCAGCCUAGCCAAAAAACAUAACAGGGAAAAGCCAUCGCCCUCUUUCAGAAUGACGGGAAGACAAACUGAUUCUAGAAUGACCAGUCUUUCAAACCAUAGCUAAUCCAUACAAAAUGCAUGCCAGGAGAUGGCCUACAAACACAUGCAAGGAUGCUCAACAUCACUAAUUAUUAGAGAAAUGCAAAUCAAAACUACAGUGAGGUGUCGCCUCACACCAGUUAGCAUGCCCAUCAUCAAAAAGUCUGCAAACAAUAAAUGCUGGAGAGGGUGUGGAGAAAAGAGAACCCUCCUACACUAUUGGUAGGAAUGUAAUUUGGUGCAACCACUAUGGAGGAGACUAUAGAGGUUCCUUCAAAAACUAAAAACAGAACCACUAUAUGACUCAACAAUCCCUCUCCUGGGCAUCUAUCCAGAAAAAAAAACAUAAUUUGAAAAGAUACAUGUACCCCAAUGGUCACUGCAGCACUAUUUAUAGUAGUCAAGUCAUGGAAGCAAUCUAAAUGUCCAUCAAAAGAGGAAUGAAUAAAGAAGAUGUGGUAUAUAUAUAUGCAGUGGAAUAAUAUUCAGCCACUUGCAGCAACAUGGAUGGACCUAGAGAUUAUCACGCAAGUGAAGUAAGUCAGACAGAGGAAGGCAAAUGCCACAUCACUUAUACGGGGAAUCUAAUAAAAUGCUACAAAAGAACUUAUUUAAAAAACAGAAACAAACUCACAGAUUUCAAACACAAUCUGGUUACCAAAGGUGAAACCUUGGGAGGGAGGGAAGAAUUGGGAGUAUGGAAAUAAUAUACCCACACUACCAUAUAAAAUAGAUGAUUAACAAGAACCUACUGUACAGCACAGGGAAAUCUACUCAAUAGUUUGCAAUAACCUAUAUGGGAAAAAUAAUGGAUAUAUUUAUAGGUAUGACUGAUUCACUUUGCUAUACACCCAAAACUAGUACAACAUUGUAA